GGGAGCUGGACACCUGGAGGCUGGAAUUGGAAGGUGUUUGGAUCCCCGCUGGCUCUGGAGCCUCAGCUGAAGGGCUGUGGAGGGUCGUUCCGGGCGUCUGCCCUCACUUUAGCUGAGCUACUGUCCAGGCUGCUAUUCGGGCUUGUCUGUUGCACUUCUUGCUGCCUGCUGGCUUUACCUCUCAGUUCAAAUCUUUAAGCGAAUUUGAGUGGCUGAGCUAAUUAACUGUCAUCUCUGAGAUUAAACCAUGUCGUCAUAGGUUCACUGCCAGCCUAGGGAUUAGUUGCUUUUAGGCCGGGUUCCUGCUCUUUGGUCCUGUCAGAUUAUGUGACAAGCAGGUUGAUGAUGAUGGCAGUGGUGAUGAUGAUGAUGGUGGGGUGUAUGUGGGUGUGUGUGUGUACAGGAAGUCAUUGCCAAGGGCUGGCUCCCGACAUUGGUUGGGAAUGUUACCCAUUUCCUUUAGAAGGGGCUGUGGCUGGGCAAGCACAUCAAGAAGGUGAAAAGUCACCGUCAUGUCAUGCCCACAAGAUGCCAUAAGAUGGAAGCUAUCACCCCUGUUUUGAAGCAGAGGAAAUUGCAGCCAAAAGAGGUUAAGUACUAUGCUCAAAGUUGUUGUCUCUGUAGGUGGCUGGGCUGGGAUCUGAAAUUUGGCUUAUUUGAUCCCACUAGGCCAUGAUGUGCUUUUUACUUCUGAGUUCUUCAGAGAUGAGGCAAGGCCAUGGUGAAAUGCAAGGAAUAGUGCUGGACCUUUCUUACUCUUUUUAAAAAAAAAUUUUUUUAUGGCCACACCCAGGGCAUAUGGAAGUUUCGGGGCCAGGGAUUGCUGUGGCAAUGCCGGAUCCUUUAACCCACCGCACCAGGCCAGGGAUUGAACGUGUGCCUCUGGAGCCACCUGAGCUGCUGCAGUCAGGUUCUUAACCCACUGUGCCACAGCGGGAACUCCCCUUUCUUAUUCUUGGAGGGGCUGCGGCUGUGAGUUUUUUUCCGAGGGCUUGAUAACCAGGAUACCUUCUCAUUUUUGCAUCCUAAGGAAAAGGGCUUCCAAAAAAAGAAUGACAAAAAAAAAAAAAAAAGCAGGUACUUGUCAGUGUUUUGCCUUGGUGACGUUUUUCCUGGGAGAACACAACAGCCCUGCUGACUGUCAGAUAAGCACUGUGGCCCUGAAGGGGUAGGGCGAGAUCAGUACAAGCCACUUACUGUAGGGCUGGAGUGCACUAGAGAGGGAGCCCAUAUACAGGCUGUUCUUGGUGGCAAAUGCAUUUCCUUCUGCUCACAGCAGCACACGCCGUGGCUUUCGGUGAUGUAGGUGUUUAGAAAAAUUAGUUUUGAGACAAUCCCUACAGCAUACCCACAGACCUGUUUACCAGUCCUUCUCUGCUUAUUUAUUGAUCCUGCACCCUGUGACCAGACCUGGCCAGCCCCUGCUCAGAAAGAAGAGGCAAGUUUGGUCCAGGGUUUUGGGACUGCCAUUCUGUGUGUGACUUAGGUGAUUAGGGAAAGCCCAUUUACCCAGAAAUCAAAACACAGAACCUCUGGGAGUGCCAAGUGGAAGUUCAUCUGUUUCUGCUGUCAUUUUUGAGAAGGCACCGCGCUUGUACUCUCGGCAGCGGAUUAUGCAUAAUCAGUGGUGAUGACUGUGCGAGCGUUUUUAAUUAGUCCUCAUCCCUCUGACUUGAGCAAUCAGAAACCCUGGAUCAGAGUAGAGAUUUAUAAUCAAUCAUUCAUCAUCAUCUGAGGUGGGCAUAAACCCAUUUGCUUUUAGCCUGCAGCUUAAAAUACCUGCUUCAGAGAGUUGCAGCUAUCUAUAAGCCAAGUGUAUUUUGAGCCUGUAGACCUAAGCCUCAGAUUGGUCUGAUUAAGUGUAAUUGUGUGAAUUGAGGUGUCUCUAGCCUUCACUCUGUACAGAGAAAGCCUGCCAACAGAUCAAAUAGUUUUAGAGAAAGAGUAUCAGGCUGGCCUCAAGGAACCCUGCGUUCUAAGCUUAGCUUUGUGAACCCCAGUUUCCUCGUCUGUAAAAAAAGAGGAUCAAAGCAGCUGGAAUUUAAGUCCUGCUUAUGUCAUGUUGAAGUUGUGUUGCUUAUAAUAGAACACUGAUAGUAAACCACAUUUUGGGGACCAUUUAGUAUGUGCCAGGUACCAGGCUACAGAUAGCACUGUGUCUUAAGCAGGUGCAUGAAAAGGCCACAACUGUCUUAGCCUGAGAGUCCUUGGUGGGAGGCUGAUCUCUGUAGGGGCUGUCAAAUAUGAAUUUACAACAAUUAUCUCAAUCAAGAUCACUGAAUUAAAUAGAGUCCUGUAGAGGUGACCUUCUGUUUGCCUUAGUGGGUCUGACAGAAUUCUGCGGUUCAAGUGAAACUAACAGAGUAAAAAUUUCUAAUUUAACUGACAGCCAGAAAAUUCCUCUGUUUUGAUCAGCUGUUGAAAUGAUUCCCCCCUGACCUCCAAAAGUGAAAUUCUAGAGAUUAGUCCAGGAAACAAGUUAAUCCUCUUUCUGGUCAGUGGUGUUCGUGAGCCUGUAGAAACUGGAUCCUUUUCAUUCCCGAACUAAUUGUUGGGAGUGUAAGUUGGUUUAGCUUUUUGGGAGCCUAGGUACAUCAGCAGCCUUCAGGUGUGCACACCCCUUGAGUCAGCAUUUCUGCUUCUGGGGUUCCAGCUGAAGAACAGGAUCAAGGUUAUGCUCAAAUGUUCAGUUAAAAGGAUGUUCCUUGUCCACUGUUUAUAACCCUGAAACCUGGAAGGGAACUAGACAUCUAGCCAUUAGCAGAUGGGUUAAAUAAAUGUAUUUAAUGUUAAAGCAUGUCGUUAAAAUGGCAUCUGUUGCUCAGCACAAAAAAAAAAAAAAUGGCAAAAAAAACCCCAACUCCACCCAGUUUAAACAGCAGUAUGUGCUGGGUGAGACAUCUUGGUGUAACCACAUGAACUAGCAAAUGUGCACACGUAGCUGUUUAAAGUAGUAUGUCUGGGGCUCAAAAUGGUUGUUUUUGUCUGGUCGAGGGAUAUUACUUUUUUUUUUUGGGCAUAUGAAUUUAAAAUAUUUUUUGUAAAGAACGUACUUUGUUUUGUAUUAAGAAGAAGAAAUUAGGAAUUCCCGUUGUGGUGCAGUGGAAACAAAUCUGACUAGUAUCCAUGAGGAUUCGGGUUCGAUCCCUGGCCUCGCUCAGUGGGUUGGGGGAUCUGGCGUUGCCAUGAGCUAUGGUGUAGGUCACAGAUGUGGCUCGGAUCUCUCAUGGCUUUGUCUGUGCCGUAGACCAGCAGCUGCAGUUCUGAUUCGACCCCUAGCCUGGAAACUUCCAUAUGCCACGAGUGAGGCCCUGAAAAGUGUAAAAAAAAAAAAAA
rnacentral:lncRNA from 1 species